UUUCCGUAGGUGAACCUGCGGAAGGAUCAUUCAUAAUAAGUGUUUUACUGCACUUUUUAAAAUAGUACUCACCUUGUAUGCAAUGUUGUGUUUCUUUUCGGAGAAACACCUACACCAACCUAUAACCUUGAACCACUUUGUCUGAAAAACUAUUAUGAAUACUUAAUUCAAAAUACAACUUUCAACAACGGAUCUCUUGGCUCUC
rnacentral:misc_RNA from 1 species